rnacentral:lncRNA from 1 species
CAAGCCCCUUCGCAAGGUUUCUUGUUUCCUGAUGAUUUUCUAGAAAUUAACUUGAGUAAUCUUUAUGAACUCAUUCUAGGUUUCUUCAGUUUGAGAAGAUGAAUCUUCCUCCCAUAAUUGCUUAGUGUUAAUGUAAGGUUCUGCUUCAAAAAUAAUUUCCCGCAAUCUUUUGAAUUAGAGUUUCCGCUCCAUGUUCCUUUGUAUAAGCUGCGAACUUUUCUAAAGUAG